rnacentral:rRNA from 1 species
GAAGGGGGGCAAGCGUUAUUCGGGAAUAACUGGGGCGUAAAGAGCGUGCAGGUGGUAGUAUUAGUCAGUUGUUAAAGAUCACGGGCUUACCCGUGAAAAUGCGAUUGAUACUGUACAACUAGAGGGCGGAAGAGAGAAGUGGAAUUCUCGGAGUAGCGGUAAAAUGCGUAGAUCUCGAGAGGAACACCAAUUGCGAAGGCAGCUUCUUGGUCCGACCCUGACACUCAAACGCGAAAGCGUGGGGAGCAAACAGGAUUAGAUACCCUGGUAGUCCACGCCGUAAACGAUGAUCACUAGAUGUGGGUUCGGCUUAGCUGAAUCCGUGUCGAAGCUAACGCGUUAAGUGAUCCGCCUGGGGAGUACGGUCGCAAAGAUUAA